AUCGCUUCUCAGCCUUUUGGCUAAGAUCAAUCGUAAAUAUUUCUUUAUCAAAUAGUCUGAGGUUUUUUUCAAACUAAUCAUUUGAUAGAGAUUACAGUUUUUUCUACAGGAAAUGAGGUUUUA
ensembl:snRNA U2 U2 spliceosomal RNA